GUGGGUAGAGAGGAGAACAAGUGAGUGGCCAGGUGGUUCAUGGGGACUGCUCACCUGAUGGGAGGUGCCUGCCCACGUGGGCGAAAAUGGCAAGGGUGCCACCAACCUUUGGACAGCACUGCUCAAAAGGGAACAUCCUACAAAAUAAGUGCAUGAGGAGCUUAGAUCUGGUUCAUUGCUCUCCUCUCCAGCUCCCGGAUUAGAACUUCAAUGCCAUAUACUUCUGCCCUGAAGAGCUGAAUAAAGAUGGACUGAGACAGCAUUGCAAGCAUGUGGAUCUAGUGCUCUGUUGAAUGGAAUUAGAGUUAACACACUUAUCCUAAAUAAAUCAUUUAAAAUGUGUACACCUAA